GGCAGUGCUGGCAGCACCAGCAGCACGCCCAGGGGAGCCUCUCACACACCCCUUCCCAGCGGGAUCACCCUGGGUGGCACUUUGCCAAUAGAGACAAGCGCUGCCCGUGUUCCCUUCCCUGGAAUGUAAACACAUCCCAGUGUUGGAACCAGAAAUCCACUCAAAAUCCACUCAUCCCUAAUUGCUGGGAGUUGUUACUGUGAUUGCAGUAAAACCAGCGAGGUAGAGAAACAAAAAGAGAGGGAAAACUAAACCCAUCCCCUGGGCUCUCCAGCAGUUCUGCAAACACGUCUCCAAGUUUGAUUUUUUUCUCUCCCUGCAUAAACAAACGCUUCUGUAGUACUUGCUGUAAUCUUGUUUGCUCCAUAACCACUCCUAGGAAUGUCAUAAAAAAUUUAACUCUAAUAUUUUACCACUCCACACAAACACGAACGUGAAUAAAUGCUUAUCUCCCACGUAGGGAACUGUACAUCAGCAUGAAAGCACACAGGAAUCAACCUCAGGCUGGAAGAACUGGACCCACACAGGCGGAGAAAAAACAAAAUCCAAGAGGACCCAAAGAUUUGGUUUCCUCUAAAAAGCCUCUUCCCAGAGGAGUAGAGGGCUACACUCGCCAGAAGGGAGCGGGUUAAUCGCUCCCAGGAGGAAAAGUGCAGAGCAGCUAGAAUUGUGGUGCCCCGCUGCAGCCAAGCACCUGCAGAGACUAAAAGAAGUUUCACCACUGACCUCAGGAGAAGCUGGACUGGGACCCACCACUGUACUCCAGACCCCGAGAAGCACAGAUUACAAGUGGGACAGACAGAUUACCAGUGGGACAGACAUUUUACCAGGGGGCAAAUGUGCCAGUUUUUUAAGAAGUGCUGCAU